rnacentral:tRNA from 1 species
AACAGAGUGUCUGAAAAAGAGUUAUUUUGAUAGAAUAUUGCAUGUAAUUAAUACUACCUCUGUUA